UCAGAUGAACGCUGGCGGCGUGCUUAACACAUGCAAGUCGCGCGUGAAAGGACUUCGGUCCGAGUAAAGCGGCGCACGGGUGAGUAACGCGUGGAUGAUCUACCCAUGAGUUAGGAAUAACGGCUGGAAACGGUCGCUAAUACCAAAUACGCUCCGAUUUCAACUUCGGGGGAAAGGUGGCCUCUGCUUGCAAGCUACUGCUCAUGGAUGAGUCCGCGUCCCAUUAGCUAGUUGGUGGGGUAACGGCCCACCAAGGCGACGAUGGGUAGCCGGUCUGAGAGGAUGACCGGCCACACUGGGACUGGAACACGGCCCAGACUCCUACGGGAGGCAGCAGUGGGGAAUAUUGCGCAAUGGGCGAAAGCCUGACGCAGCGACGCCGCGUGAGGGAUGAAAGGUCCUCGGAUCGUAAACCUCUGUCAGGAGGGAAGAACCGCCACGGUGCUAAUCAGCCGUGGUCUGACGGUACCUCCAAAGGAAGCACCGGCUAACUCCGUGCCAGCAGCAGC
rnacentral:rRNA from 1 species